rnacentral:rRNA from 1 species
AUACGUAGGGGGCAAGCGUUGUUCGGAUUUACUGGGCGUAAAGGGUGCGUAGGCGGCGCAACAAGUCACUUGUGAAAUCUCCGGGCUUAACUCGGAACGGCCAAGUGAAACUGUUGUGCUAGAGUGCAGGAAGGGCAACUGGAAUUCUUGGUGUAGCGGUGAAAUGCGUAGAUAUCAAGAGGAACACCUGAGGCGAAGGCGAGUUGCUAGACUGACACUGACGCUCAUGCACGAAAGCCAGGGGAGCGAACGGGAUUAGAAACCCCGGUAGUCC